GUUCUUUUGUUUUUAAUAUAAGAUUGGGCCUGCCCAUUGAUUUAAAAUAUUAAAAGGCUGCGGUAUUUUAACUGUACGAAGGUAGCAUAAUCACUUGUCUUUUAAUUGGAGGCUAGAAUGAAUGGUUUGAUGAGAAAUAAACUUUCUUUAAAUAAUUAAUUUGAAUUUAAUUUUUUAGUUAAAAAGCUAAAAUUUUUUUAUAGGACGAGAAGACCCUAUAGAGGUUUACUAAUUUUAUAAAUUAUAUUUUUUUGUUAAUUAAUUUAUUUUUUAGAAUAAUUAGUUUUGUUGGGGUGACAAUAAAAUUUUAUUAACUUUUAUUAUAAAUUUCAUUAAUUUAUGUUUUUUUGAUCCAGAAUUUUUGAUUAAAAGAUUAACCUACCUUAGGGAUAACAGCGUAAUCUUUUUGGAGAGUUCAUAUCGAUAAAAAGGUUUGCGA
rnacentral:rRNA from 1 species